rnacentral:misc_RNA from 1 species
GUAAAUUUUUAAGAGCUUGUUGGCUGUUAAAAUUUUGGGGAACAUUCAAGUUAUGUCGAAGUACUGUCAGCUUUCUUUUAAAAUUUUCGUAAAUAAAUUAUGCAUUUUAUAUCCCACAAUUUCAGCCUACGAUUUAAAUUCCUUUUCUUGAUGCACUAUUACUUUUUUUAACUUUAGGAAAGGAUUCAACUCCUGUAAUAGAUACUAGGGGUACUCUAGCGGUUUAG